rnacentral:rRNA from 1 species
UAAGGAGUGUGUAACAACUCACCUGCCGAAGCAACUAGCCCUGAAAAUGGAUGGCGCUCAAGCGUCGCACCUAUACCGUGCCGUCGGGGCAAAUGCCAGGCCCCGACGAGUAGGAGGGCGCGGCGGUCGUGACGCAGCCUCUGGCGCGAGCCUGGGUGAAACGGCCGCCGGUGCAGAUCUUGGUGGUAGUAGCAAAUAUUCAAAUGAGAGCUUUGAAGACCGAAGUGGAGAAAGGUUCCAUGUGAACAGCAGUUGGACAUGGGUUAGUCGAUCCUAAGAGAUAGGGAAAUUCCGUUUUCAAGUGCCCAAUCGCGGGCCGCCUAUCGAAAGGGAAUCGGGUUAAUAUUCCCGAACCGGAACACGGAUAUCGCCACUUCCCGUGGCGACUGCGGUAACGCAAACGAACCCGAUGUCGCCAGUACGGACCCUGGGUAGCGUUCUCUUUUCUUCUUAACGGACUUUCACCCUGAAAUCAGCUUGCCUGGAGAUAGGGUUUGAUGUCCGGUAAAGCACCACACUUCUUGUGGUGUCCGGUGCGUUCGUAACGGCCCUUGAAAAAUCGGGGGAGACAGUGAUUUUCGUGUCCGGUCGUACUCAUAACCGCAGCAGGUCUCCAAGGUGAGCAGCCUCUGGUUGAUAGAACAAUGUGGGCAAGGGAAGUCGGCAAAAUAGAUCCRUAACCUCGGGAAAAGGAUUGGCUCAA